GCUGGGCCCGGCCUGGGCUUGCAGACCCGAGCCCCGCAGGCCGGCCCCAGCGGCGGUGGCUCCGGCAAGCCGAAGAAAGGGGACCUUUAUGCCUUUUGGGGGAAGCACACAUUCUGCGAGGCCGUGGAAACAAAGAGAGGAACUGUUUGUAGCCCUAGUCCAGACGUCCCAAACAAACACUGAGGAUGGAAGAUGCGGAAAACCAAACGUACCCCUCUCCUUACAGACUCCGCAGCCUUUCCAGGCUAUCUGCCAAAUUGCGAGAUGUUCCGUGAGGUGGAUAGUUUGGGCCCCCUUCCUGUGCUCUCUUGGAGAAAACCGACAGUAGAGAAACUAAAUGCCUUGGUCCUGCAGCAAUUGUGAAGAAAAGUUAAUAAAAGUAAGCUGUGUCCCUUAGACUGCGUGGAAUUAUAAAAAGCUAGGCUUGGAAACGCAUAGUGACCAUGGGUAGGAUGUCCAUCCAGAGUACUAGCUUGACUCCUGGUUAGGCGACUCGGUAGCUGUGAGUCUUUAGACAAAGUACUGAAUCUCCCUGUGCCUCCUUUUCUGUAAAAUUGGUAUGACAGCCCUUAUCUAGGGAGUGUUGUGUGGGUUAAAUGAGAUAACACAUGCAAAAUGUUCAGAACAACGCCUGGCACGCUGUAAGUUUUCAGUAAAUAUUGCUAUCAGUACUAAAAUUAUUAUUAUCGGUACCUUUGUGACAGGCUAAGUUGUAACAAAAGGACCCCAAAAUACAUUUGCUCAGAAAGGAUAUAAGUGUAUUAUUUCUCUCUCACCUGCUAGCUUGGAGGUAGAUAGUCGGUCCAGGACAGGUAAACAAUUCUGCUCCACAGGGUCAUUCAGGAACCCAGGUUCCUUGUGUUGUGUUUCUUCCCAUCCCCUAGGGUGUCCCCCUCUUCUGCCUAGUUACAGCUCCCCAACAUUAUAUCUCCUUUCUGCUCCUGCGUGCAGGCAAAUGGCCCCCUUCCAAAUGUUGUAACUCUGAAGCUGUUCAUGCCCUUUCACUCAUAUCCCUCAUUGACCAGAACUUGGGCACACUUAGCUGCAGGUGAGUCUGGCAAAUGUAGUCUCCAGCUAGGCCAACUAAAUAUGCCCAACUAAAACUUAGGAAUUCUCUUACUAAAAGGAAGAAAGGGAGAGUGGAAAUUGGGAACAGUUCAUGGUCACUGGGUUCUUAGCCCACCUGAGCUCUACUUCCGACUGGAUGCCUGAUUUGCUCCUGGAUUUCUUCUUUAGAAAAACCCAGGGACAGCUCUUGGCUCAUGUUUCAGAUAAAUACCCUUGGUGGCAGCAUGGGUAUCUCCUGCUGGCUGGUCAGACUGCCUGUCCGCAGGGUUGGGCAGCCUGUCCCCUUACUGCCCAAACCUCCUAGCAAGAGUGGCACUGGCUCUCUUUGUUUGUUUAUUUUCUCCUGGCUCUUUUGACAACUUCCCCAACAGGCAAUGUAAAUUCCAUACUCUAUUGUCUCCAGAGAGUCACUCUUCCUUGGGAUCUUGAGUCUGGGGUGGCUGAUUAAGGAAGGGUCCCUGUGUCCUUCCAUUCUCCUAGAGCUCAUCCUUGCAUGCGUUGAAGAGGGAACCUUCUCCCCACCUCAUCAAGGAUUAUCUAUGAGCCCGCAGGACUGUAAGAAAGAAAUCAAGCCACAUGUUUGCUGAAUGGAUGGGCAGCCACGUGGUCCUAGAGCUCUGUAGUCUUUUAGUUCAACUUUGGUGAUACAUACUUUCCUGAAAGCACUAGUUUAAGCAGCAGCCUGGCUCAAUGAAAGGAAGUGUGGAUCAGUAUUCCAUUCUCAUUAUUGCAAGUAACUUACUGGUUGGGUCAAAGAAAGGCAUAUCAAUGGUCUAGCGGGAGCUUACUCCAAGGACAGAGAAGGUACUUUGAGGUAUAUUGCCUAACAGAUGAAGGAGGACAUUUGUAUUUGUUGAGGGCCUGCUAUGUGCCAAGCACCUGCUCAAGGCAGCAGUCCAGGCAUUAAGUAACAAAACAUGCACCUGAUGGAGUUUACAACCUAGCAGGAGUACCAUGCAUUAACCAUCUCAUUUAAUCCUUGUAAAUUCUGCAAAGCGUGUAUUUUUCAUAUUUUGUAGGCCAAAAAUUCAAGCUCAGAGAGGGAAAUGGUAAGGAUACUUUUAAACCUAUAUCUACCUGAUUCUAAAACUCUUGGUCUUUCCAUUAUUAUUUCAUCAGCCUCCAGACACUUUUUGUGUUGAAGAGGGAAUCUAGCCUAUAUGUAGGAGAGACGUGGUCCCCUGUGCUAAAAACCUGAAACGGUGAUUAUUAUAAACUCAGGGGUUGGCUUCACUUGACUGUGGUGGUUGGAUUUUUUGCGCUAACCUGCAUCUCUCUCUAAUCACCCUUGCCCACUGAUCCUUCUCUGUGCACCCAGCCAGUGGAACCCCACUUCUGGAACAGUUCUGCCCUGCUCCUUUGUUGGGCUCUGACUAUAGCUGGAGGAAUUGUCUGCCACGUCUGUCUGGACCAUUAGAGUACUAGGUUCCCAAGGCUGCCUGGAAACCCUCCCAGAUGUCCCUAGGCCUCCCCUGUCCCAUUAUUAUUGGUGUCUCCUCCUGGCCGUUCCUCUUUCAUCCACCCUGUUUAAACCUCCAUUUCCUUGCCUGUCACUGUCAUUGACAGGGAAUCCAUCCUGUCCAUUGGUAAAACUGAACACAACUUAAGGCCCCAAGAAAUUCUCAAGGUCAUCUCUGGCAAUCCCCCCAGCAUAUCUCCUACUCUGCUUCUCCACUCCUCCCGUGCUAGGGAAGGGGUGUGCUCCUGCCACGGCCGACCUUCUCCUUGUGCUCCAGACACUCUCCCAUCUCCCCUAGAGACACCCUCCCCUCCUCCCUCCAAUCAUUCUGUUCUCUUGUUCACAUCUUCAGCUUCUUGCCUACCAGUAUUUCUCAUCACUACCUGAACUUGGUCAAUCUCUCCAAGCUGAAUAGUGCCCUGUUCUCGAACCCAUAUUUCUGUCUACUUCUGCCUUCAGUUUCCCUUUCUCUCUCCUUUCACAGCCCAGGCUUCUUGAAAGAAUCAUCUACACUGGCUGCUGACACUGCCCCCCUGCCCAUUCAGUCCGCCAUCACCCGUCUGGCAUAUGUUUCCAUGAUCAAAUGCCCAGACUAACGUCAUGAAAGACAGCCAUUCCCGAGAUCUAGUUGUUGUUUUUCUUCCCUAGUAUGACUCCAUCUUUCGAGGGCAUUGGUACCAUUACACACCCACACAUUUUGAGCCUCUCUUCCCAGAUGACUUUGCUCUCUAGGUUUCCACCCUACUUUGCUGGAUAUUUUUUUCCUAUCUCCUUAUGGAGACCUCCUGUUCUACUUACUCCCUGAAUGUCUCCAGGGUCUCUCUGUCCCACCCACUGCUCUUCUCACCCUCUCCCUUGGUGUCCUCAACCAUAUAUGAGCCGACGCUCUCCCUCCUGACAUCUGGUCCUGAAUGUCCGGCCUCUCAUGGACUACUGCUUCUGGCUGUCCCCAGGCUCCUCCCGCUUAGCAUUCUAAAGCCAGACUCCUCGUCAGGCUCUUCCAAGACUUGCCCCUCUUCUUAUGCCCCCAGUUGUCGGGAACGGUACCGUUACCCCAGUUGCCCAUGUCAGAGCAAAGAAGUCUAGUAAUUAUCUUGGAUCCAUCCUUCUCGUUGCAUCUCAUUGAACAGGUAUCAUGUUCUAGUGAGUCUAGCUCUUCCAGCUCCUGAAUCUCCCUGCCUCUCAUUCUCCUACCACUGGGGAAAAAGCCUGUACUGCUUCUCACACAGCUAUGGCAAAGGGCCCUUGAGGGACCGCCUCUAUUUCCAUCCUUCACUGCCAGGAUCGUCCCUCUAAUGCUGUUGGCUCAGGGCAUCCUCCUGCUCUUCAGUGCUCCCAGAGAUUUUGGAUAAAGCUCACACUCCUUCAGUUAAUCACACAGCCCUUCCUGAUAAUUCCGGGUCUACCUUUACAGCCCCUUUCCAUCUUUACCCCACGCGGGGCGGUGCAGGUUCAUGCCUAGCGACAUGCCUUCACCUGCAGCACCUUCUGCCUUCCUCCUGGUGCUGAUCUCCAGUUGUCUGUCAAAACUCAGCUCGGGCAGCAUCUCACAGGCCACGUCUGCCUGGCACGGCUGUCACAAUUUCACACACCAGAUUCCCCGUUAGCAGCUCCAGGGCCGAAGCACACACAAGGUGCUCUACAAAUGGUAAAGGCAUGGACUAUUUUCUUCAGAAACUUUUAAUUCUCACUCAGGAAGCCUGAGGCAUCAAGUUAAGGUCCCUUGUAAAAGCUCUUCAGGGUGUCUCCAGUUUUUUAAUAGAAGCAUGGUUUGACCUUGACAAUCAGACAUGUAGAAGCUGAGCAGCCAGUCAGCUAAGGGUAGAGCAGUUAGUCGUUCCUCAUUCACUCCCAAGUUGCUGAGCAAAAGGAAGCACCACUGCCCCUCUUCCCCGCUGCCUCCUUUCUCUGGGCUGUCAGCGUGCACGGUAUUUUUGCAUAUACCCUGGGGUCCUUUAUUCUCUGGGGUUUCUGAAUUCAUUAUAUUAUUGCAUUAGGCCCGAGGGGUUGACAGUUCAGCAGGAUUCAAGGUUUCGGGGAGGAAAUAGGGUUUCUGUGGGGGUAGCUGCUUGUUAAUUUACGGUGGACUGGACAUUUUGUGAACGGUGACUUUCCUCAGCCAGGAGCACUGAAGGUUUGGAGAAAGCUUUGGGGGGAGGUGAUGUUGCCCUGGCCAGGGAAAGCAUUGUGCUCCAGAGAGAUUGUUUGUGUCUCGCUCUAAUUCUCCAGCGGCACAGAAGCAAGUCUUCUCGUUUUACAGAAGUUUUCAUUGUUUGUUAUGAUAGUUUUAGCUGCCGUGAUUGAAAUUUACUUGCUGCCAAAUCUGUUCUCCGGAACAGCCGAGAUUCUGUCUCUAGUCUUUGGUGGUCGCCUCAGCAUUUCGAAUACGGCACUGGCUGGCUAGCCAGCCGUGUGGAACUAGGCUGGUCCCAUCGCCCAGACCAUGAGAGCCAGAGGUAUCAGGAGUCUUAUCACCAGGUAAGACUUCUACUUCUGGUGCUCCCCUGAGUCUGGGCUUCCCAUGACUGAGGAGAUUGGCUGGAAUCUCACAGAAUGUGCCAAUCAAGACCCAGGGUUUGCAAGUGAUAGUCUCAACUCAUGACCUAUGCAAGAAAGAUGAAUUCUCUGGCUGAAAAAUACUAGAGGGAGAUCUGUAUUUAGAUAUGCUGGUUUCUAGGGUCAGGGAUAGCAUCGUCAAGGCAUGCCUCUCCCUGUGUACCCUUGGCUCUGCUUCCUUUUUAGCUGGCUUCCUUCUCAAGCUCUCUGUGGAGGGACAGAAAUUGUCCUUAACAUCUAGCAAUUUCAGGACAAGAAAUUCUUCUUUCCCAACAACUAUACAGAGUCAAAAGGUACCUCUAAUUGCCUACUCUGGGUCAUGGGGCUAUCUUAGUUUGUUUGGGCCGUUAAAACGAAAAUACCACAGACUGGGGGACUUAACACGCAUUUAUUUCUCACGG